rnacentral:rRNA from 1 species
AGAGUUUGAUCAUGGCUCAGGAUGAACGCUAGCUACAGGCUUAACACAUGCAAGUCGAGGGGCAGCAUGUUGGUUGCUUGCAACCAACGAUGGCGACCGGCGCACGGGUGAGUAACGCGUAUCCAACCUACCCUUGUCCAUCGGAUAACCCGUCGAAAGGCGGCCUAAACACGAUAUGCGGUUCACAGCAGGCAUCUAACGUGAACGAAAUGUAAAAGGAGAAGGAUGGGGAUGCGUCUGAUUAGCUUGUUGGCGGGGUAACGGCCCACAAGGCUACGAUCAGUAGGGGUUCUGAGAGGAAGGUCCCCCCANAUUGGAACUGAGACACGGUCCAAACUCCUACGGGAGGCA